rnacentral:tRNA from 1 species
AUGGUGGCUCAGUGGUAGAGCGCUUGCCUAGCAUACAUGAGGCACUGGGUACAAUUCUCAGCACCAUA